rnacentral:rRNA from 1 species
GACGAACGCUGGCGGCGUGCUUAACACAUGCAAGUCGAGCGGAAAGACCACUUCGGUGGUACUCGAGCGGUGAACGGGUGCGUAACACGAGCGUAAUCUGCACCUCCCUUUGGGAUAGCCACCGGUAACGGUGAUUAAUACCGGAUAUGACUAUAUGUCGCAUGGCGAGUGGUGGAAAGUUGUUCGGUGAGGGAUGUGCUCGUGGCCUAUCAGCUUCAUGGUGUUGUAAUGGCUGACCAUGGGUUCGUCGGGUAGCCGGCCUGAGAGGGGGACCGGUCACACUGGGCCUGAGAGACGGCGCAGACGGCUACGGGAGGCAGCAGUGGGGAGUAUUGGACAAUGGGCGGAAGCCUGAUCCAACAACGCCGCGUGAGGGAAGACGUCCUUCGGGUUGUAAACCUCUUUCAGUGCCGACGAAGCGGAAGUGACGGUAGGUACAGAAAAAGCACCGGCUAACUACGUG